AUAGCUUUAGGGCUAGCCUCGAGGUAAAGAGUCAUGGAGGUAGAGCACUGUUUGGACUAGGGGCCCUUCUCGGGUUACCGAAUUCAGAUAAACUCCGAAUGCCAUGUACUUAUACUCGGGAGUCAGACUGCGAGUGAUAAGAUCCGUAGUCGAAAGGGAAACAGCCCAGACCACCAGUUAAGGUCCCCAAAUAUAUGUUAAGUGGAAAAGGAUGUGGGGUUGCUUAGACAACCAGGAUGUUGGCUUAGAAGCAGCCACCAUUGAAAGAGUGCGUAAUAGCUCACUGGUCGAGUGACCCCGCGCCGAAAAUGUACCGGGGCUAAACAUAUUACCGAAACUGUGGAUGAACCUCUUUAGAGGUUCGUGGUAGGAGAGCGUUCUAAGGGCGGUGAAGUCAGACCGGAAGGACUGGUGGAGCGCUUAGAAGUGAGAAUGCCGGUAUGAGUAGCGAAAGAAGGGUGAGAAUCCCUUCCACCGAAUAUCUAAGGUUUCCUGAGGAAGGCUCGUCCGCUCAGGGUUAGUCGGGACCUAAGCCGAGGCCGAUAGGCGUAGGCGAUGGACAACAGGUAGAGAUUCCUGUACCAGUGCUAAUUGUUUAACCGAUGGGGUGACACAGAAGGAUAGGGAAUCGCACGAAUGGAAAUGUGCGUCCAAGCAGUGAGUGUGAGAAGUAGGCAAAUCCGCUUCUCGCGAAGCAUGAGCUGUGAUGGGGAAGGAAAUUAAGUACGGAAGUUCCUGAUUUCACGCUGUCAAGAAAAGCCUCUAGGAAGAGUAGUACUGCCCGUACCGCAAACCGACACAGGUAGAUGAGGAGAGAAUCCUAAGGUGAGCGAGAGAACUCUCGUUAAGGAACUCGGCAAAAUGACCCCGUAACUUCGGGAGAAGGGGUGCUCUAUUAGGGUGCAAGCCCGAGAGAGCCGCAGUGAAUAGGCCCAGGCGACUGUUUAGCAAAAACACAGGUCUCUGCAAAACCGUAAGGUGACGUAUAGGGGCUGACGCCUGCCCGGUGCUGGAAGGUUAAGAGGAGUGCUUAGCUUCGGCGAAGGUACGAAUUGAAGCCCCAGUAAACGGCGGCCGUAACUAUAACGGUCCUAAGGUAGCGAAAUUCCUUGUCGGGUAAGUUCCGACCCGCACGAAAGGCGCAACGAUCUGGGCACUGUCUCAACGAGAGACUCGGUGAAAUUAUAGUACCUGUGAAGAUGCAGGUUACCCGCGACAGGACGGAAAGACCCCGUGGAGCUUUACUGCAACCUGAUAUGGAAUGUUUGUACCGCU
rnacentral:rRNA from 1 species